CCGCUCCCUCUCCUCUCCCUCCCGCCCCGCCUCUCUCUCUCCGUCCAAACCCUCCCUAACCCACGCCCGCCUCCCUGCCCCGCCGCCAGCCGCAGCCGCCGCCGCCGCCGCUCGCCGCGUCUCCCUCCAAACGCUCGCUGCGCCCGCCUCCUCCGCCGCCUCCUCUCCACCGCCGCCGAGGUGGCACGGGAGGUGGCGCCCCCCGCGUCGUGGGCGUUGGCGCAGCCGCAGGUGGGGGCGGCGGCGUGGACGGAAUUGGGGCAGGGGCGUUCUUCGUGGCCGCAUCAGGCGUGGGCGCUGCCACAGGCGAAGCAGCAACAACAGUGAGGCUGUACACGGCGGAAGGGGAACAGGCGGGGUACACGACCAAGUGGGAGGAGCUCCGUCCGGUUUCGCAGCACCUUCUCCUGCAAAUCGAGGUUUCAAAAACAUCUCGUGGUGGUGGAUUCUACAGGGAGAAGAUAAGGGAUGAGAGGCAUGUGUGUGAGCAGGUGGAACAAUAACUGGAUGCUCGUCAGAUUACCCAGGUUUGGUUUUAUUCUCAGGGUGCUUUGUUCUUUAAUUUGCAGAACAUGUUUGAACAACGUUUCAGCCUUCACGGAUUAGUGUAGUAGCCUAACCAUUGCAGAAAAGGGGAAGAAAGUUAAACUGAACCUAAAUUCAGAUAUAUUUUGAUGAACGUCCAGUUAUCUGCUUGAAGAACAAAGGGUGCUUAAUACUGGUUUGGUUUAUUCUGUGAGCAGGUGGAACAAUUCAGGAUAAAACUGAAACUAAAUUCAGAUAUAUUUUGAACUAAUCAUAUAUUAGUUCCAAUUAGAUUAUAUGAGCAUAUCAGACUAGAUGGUCUCCUAGACCUUUAGAAGUUGAUAUUCUCUAUUUUUGGCCACAUCAUUUUUGUAAAAAUAGUAGAGUCGCUAACACAUCUGCACAACCUAUGGCUUAUUACAUAUAUAUGCUUGGUCUUCUGUUCUGCACAGCGAAACCAUGGGUUUUUUAUUCUAAGAAAAUGAUGUAUAUUGGUGUUGUAUCCACAAGAUCUAUGUAAGUUAGAAAUUUAGAAGUAAUGCCUUCCAUGUGGAAAUACAAGCAUUAUUUUAUUUCGUGGUAUGAUGAAAAAGUUCACCCUAGGUCCACUUGCUUUUAUUUGUUGUUUUUGUUCCGAUAAUGUCUGAUUUAUAGUUUCAAUUUCAUCAGCACAAAUAGACUCAAUGGUGUAAUGAUUCAGUUUCACAUAUAUUUUGUCAGUAUGGUAUUUAUGAUUUUUUUCCAUGAUCCAAGAUAUCAGAUUUAUGAGCUUCUGUUACUUGAUGCAAUUUCAAAAAGUGUCGGUAAGGUAAAAAUGAUCUAGAAGCUUAUUGCAUUCGAAAGUAGUUAUCGCAAGAAGAAGCAUGAGACACUAGCAGGUAUAUAAUGUCUAUUCUGCUUUCUAUUUGUUUUUUAGGUUCAGAUUACAAAUUCUUGCAUGAUGUAGAAGUUUCAACCGAAUGGUGCACCCUCAAAAUUGUGUUUUGUUAUGCACGAUGCAAGCUUCAGCAGCGCCACACCUAGAUUUUGAAUGGCUCAUAGCAGACUGUAUAUGGCUAACCUAUUGUAUGGCAUUCUUAUUUUUUGUCUAUAUGCAUUACUUCUAGAUUUACUUCUAUUGUUGCGCCAUCACAUGGAUCAAACACACUAAAAUAUGAUGUUGAUCUUGCACAAAAGGAAGAACGGUGGUGUCACAUAAGCAUGGCUCGACCUAGCCUUGAUCAUGGUAGCCUCUUAGGUGUUCCUACUUGCUACUAUCCAUGCUACCUGAAAACCCAGCUUAUUUCACCACCAGCUCCAAAGCAACGACAGAAUGUAGGCAUCACCGUAUAUAAUUUUAUUGCAUAUUGCUCAACUCCUCUAUGAAUUUGCUUACAAGCGUGUGUGACUACACUUGCUAUGCACAUGUACUAUAGACAAGUCGGCAGGACCUCACAUCACAACACCUGAGCGAGUCUGGCAAGGCUUGCUCGCCAUGGCCUACCGCGUCGGCGAGACGGGGCGAGCACGUGAUCACCAUCAACAGGUCCUUUGUCACAACACCCUAGCAAGCGAGAUGUUUAGACAAAGAUAUAUGAUACAGUACUAUCAACAUAUGUCAUAGACGAACAAUAUAUAUCCUUCUCUUCACAAGCACAAGACUUGAUUUUGAUAAAUUGUGUUACCAUUUCUGCGGCAUCAACAUUUGGAAGGACACACCAUCUGAAUCCUCUAUAAUAACUGAACCAUUACUAUUACAAGCAACCUCCCACAUCUUCCUUCCAAAAAUUCAGAUGAUGGUUUAGUUGUUUAUAUACAUGUGCCAUCUCUUAUGUCUGAAAUAUAUAUUCUACUACCGGGCUGGCUGGCACCUGGCAGGCUGCACUUCCUAUCUACUUGUGACGCCCCAUCAUGUUGGUUUACAUUUGGAGCAAAAAUGCUGCUGAGCAUUUGGUGUGACUGAUUGCACUAUCCAUUUAGUGUUGUCUGGACAUAUGCUAUGUAGUGGACACAAUUAUUUAGAAAAAUGUCAAACCUUAACAUUUACAGGAAGCUUUACAUAUGUUUGGAUUAUGGGUCUGCUGUAGGUUUGCAUAGAUAAAUAAAUAGCACUCUUGCUAUCAAAGUGUGUGUUUCAUGGGCCUUUCUUUGUUUGAGGGAAAUAACUCAAUUUUUGUAUCAGCCAUACUUCUGCUAUAUAUAUGGAAACAAUCAGUGUCUAUUUCUUUUUUAUCUGAACUGAGACAUAAUUCUACUAUAUGUAAACAAUCAUUGGUUCUUUCUUUUUUAUCUAAACUGAGAAAUAACUCUAAUCAAUUGUUUUUUUAUUUAAUGUCUAAGUAUCUUCCUUACCCAAAACUUGUGCCAAAACUGGUAUUUCUUUCAUGUGUGCCUUGUGCCAUAUAUUAUCCAACCCCCUCUACUUCUGUACAGUUUUUUGUGGUGAAAGAUUACUGGCACCAUGUGAAUCUUAAGCUCCACCAUUUCCUAAUUUUUCUCUCCUGGUCGCCUCUAGGUUUCCUGGCAAGGCGAUGGUGUAUGAACCCUAUGCGCCUGCCUAGCUGUAUUGCGGCUCGAGGAUGCGGCGGAGGUGGCACAUGAGCAGAUGAAAGAGGAAUAAUUGAAGCCCCGAUGCCUCACACAUUCUUGCUCCCUGAUAAUGGAAGUACUAGGUUUCAAACUCCUUCCCCUUCCCUGAUAUUUACAAUUCCUUUUCGGUUAGCCAUCACCGAUGUUGACUGUUGACUGAAAUAUUUAGUUCUGUUGCUGGACACCUAAUAUCUGCACACGGUGUGUCCGCCAGCUGAGCGGCAAGCCGGAGCUGCAAGUCGCUGAACAUGGUCGUGCUACUGGCAACUCACUUGGGCAUGUAGUGAGGAUGGCUUAUGUUCAAGCACCUAAUGGAAUGUAUGCUUUUCCUUGAUGCUCGGUUCCUAAGAAAUUGCAUGAAGCUGGUGUCUGGUGCAGUCUCACAAAGAAAGAGAAAAGAUUCGGUGUCAACGACUCAUGAAUGGAAAUAAAAACACGAGCGGGAAUCAUUUACUGUUUUCCCUACCUUAGAGUAUAAUUAUAUGAUCGCUUCACGGUUCUUUCCCUGAAGAUGUUUGGUAUAUGCUCAUCUUGUGCAUUUUUACCCUUUAGCUAAUUGCCCCCCCCUUUUUUCCUUUUUCACUGUUCUCCUGUGUUGAAAGAGCUUCUAAUGUUCUUGCAGUCAGGGGCAAAAAAAACUCACAAAAAUAUGAGCCCAAUGACCAUGAUCCGCUUGCAGCAAAUCUGGCUAAUUCGCUCUCUAUUGGGAAUAUUCCUCUUGGCAUGUUGGUUAUCCCUUUGCACUGAACUGCAUUAUUGAAUCGAAAGGUAGCUAUAUCAUGGGAGUGUAAAAUUUCAUAUUUAUUCACAGGGUUGUGGAUUAUUGUUCUUUAUUGUGAUUUAGAAAGUUUAAUUUUAGUGACAUUUGGUUUUAAUGAGUUCGACAAUAACCCGCAUAUGCUGUUAAUCAGAAGUUAUAUUACACAGUUUCAUCUUCGCUAUUGUCGCGGCAUAGUGUGACAGAAGUUACUCCAGUUGUAUGUAUGUAUCAUCCUUUUCCUACUCAAGUAUCGAGUGGCUAAUAUGUUGCUCUCACCUACAUCUUCUCUUGCAGGCACCUUUUUUUUAGCUGCAAUAUUCAUUUGGAUCUCUCAGCAACAUAUCUUUUCUACUUAAUACUCUACAGGCAUAAUGUUACUGACUAGUUUCCAGUCUAUCUGAAUUUUGUAUAGCUUUUAGAGUGCCUAUUCUCAUGAGCUAAUUCUGAUAUUUUUUGUAGAGCUUCCAUAUUAUCAUUAGGAAGAAUAAGGCUGUCAAGUAUAGCUUUUAGAGUGCCUAUUCUCAUUAGGAAGCAUUAGCUUUGUCUCAGAAGUUCUCUGUAAUGAUCAGCUAUUAGCUAUCAUCGAUGUUUCCAGAGAAUUGUUUCCAAUUGUCUGUCAUCUCAAAUUCUCAAUUGUAUUUAUGAGCAGAUAAAACAUCUACUGUAACACCUGCUGGUAUGAACUACUUGGCUAUAUUUACGUAACUUGUACGUUUA